GCUCGUAGUUGGAUUUCUGACGGACCGUUGCGGCCCGCUGUCUUUACGACAGUGCGUGCUGUGGCGAGUUUGUCAUCCUUCCAGUAAGCUAUGCCUACCGUUCAGUUCGGCCGGGUAUAUGCAAGCUGGAUCUAUUACUUUGAAAAAAUUAGAGUGUUUAAAGCAGGCUUAUGCUGUGAAUACAUUAGCAUGGAAUAAUAUUUUAGGACUUUGGAUCUAUUUUGUUGGUUUUUGGAGCUGAAGUAAUGAUUGACAGGGAUAGUUGGGGGUGCUAGUAUUCCAUGGCCAGAGGUGAAAUUCUUGGAUUCAUGGAAGACUAACUUCUGCGAAAGCAUUCACCAAGGAUGUCUUCUUUAAUCAAGAACGAAAGUUGGGGGGAUCGAAGACGAUCAGAUACCGUCGUAGUCUCAACCAUAAACUAUACCGUCUAAGGAUCAGUGAUCGUUGCAUUCGAUUUCAUUGGCACUUUGUGAGAAAUCAAAGACUUUGGGUUCCGGGGGGG
rnacentral:rRNA from 1 species